UGGGGAUACACUAUGAGAAUGGGAAGCCCGUCCUUUGGAGGUGAGGCAGAUCCAACUUUGCAAAGACAGUCUGGCGCUUCUGACUCACAGUCUGUAAGUAUGUUUUCAUAUUUAAAUAAUUUGCCAAUGAUGAUUCAAACGUGAGUUUUGAUAAGUGUAGAGUAGCGCUUGUUGUUUGUCGUUUCUCUGAUCACAAAUACAGACAUGGUUUUAUGUUUACGCAGCGCAUUAUGCAGCGCAACGCGUAAAAACACAGUAUAAGUCAUUAUAAUCAGUAAUUAUGUCCCCACUAGAUGCAACAAAUGUCUCGUUUAUGAUGGGUUUUAUUGUUUUUGUCUCAUUGCGCUGGGACACACGGCCUCACAGUAUGUUAAGGAGUGUAACAUUUCUGUCACGAUUGAGGAAUUCACCAAUCACAACGUGCUGAAAUUUCUGUGUUAACGAUUGUGAGAGAGAGGGAGAGUAACAAGGCAAGGCAAGGCAAGGCAAUGCAAGUUUAUUUAUAUAGCACAUUUCGUACACAAUGGUAAUUCAAAGUGCUCUACAUAAAAGAAAGUAAAAUAAUCAUGAAGAAAAAUAAUAACAAAAUAAAACAUGCAAUUUUAAAACAUAAAACAAGCAAUUUUAAAACACUGGAAAUUAUUAAAAAAUUUACUUAUUUAAAAUGAAUUUAAAACAGUUAAAAAUAGAAAAUGAUUUUACAUAAAAUACAGUGAAUACGUAAAAUACAGUGCAAUCAGUUCGUACAUCGCACAGUGCUCAUUCAAUAAAUGCACAGCUAAACAGAUGAGUUUUGAGUCUAGAUUUAAACGUGACUAAUGUUUUAGCACAUCUGAUCUCUUCUGGAAGCUGAUUCCAACUGCGGGCGGCAUAGUAACUAAAGGCGGACUCCCCUUGUUUUGUGUGAACCCUUGGAAUUUCUAACUGACUCGAUCCUAAUGAUCUGAGUGGUGUGUUAGGUUUAUAUUCAGUGAACAUAUCUGCAAUAUAUUUUGGUCCUAGGUCAUUGAGUGAUUUAUAAACGAGUAA
ensembl:lncRNA